rnacentral:rRNA from 1 species
GCGAUUCCCUGAGUAGUGGCGAGCGAAAAGGGAACAGCCCAGCGCACAAUCUCCCGGUCUACCAAGGCCGCGGCGAAAUUUUGCGUAUAGGGAAGGGUCGUUUACAGCCUCKUGCCACCGUCUGAUGUGCCUAACCGUGAUCUGAAAUGUUCACGCACGUUGGGUGCUUUAUCUUUCGGGGUAAACGCUCGACACAUGGUUCCAUGGUGGGUGCAAGCCCCGUAUGGCCGCGUGUGAGUGUGCACUAAGGCUCGGCCUCUUUUUCCCUGAGAGUCGCGUUGUUUGAACUUACAGCGCUAAUCAGGAGGUAAACUCCUCCUAAGGCUAAAUACUUCCACAGCACCGAUAGCAAACAAGUACCGCGAGGGAAAGUUGAAAAGCACUUUGGAGAAAGGGUGACAAGACCGUGAGACCGUCCAGGGCAAAAGCCGGUGUCAAAUAUCCUARUUGCGCUGGGACUGCGGCCCCUCGGUCGUAAGGCGCACGUCUGGUUUUGCAAGUUGAAAAGCUUUUACGAGCUCUUGUAGAAUCGUGUGUGCCUCUUGGUCCGUUAACAGCCCAUCGUGACUCUUGUGAGGUCAUUCGUGGUAGCGGAAGCAUCUGUUCGGUACGUUCAUUAAGGGUCGAGAUUAUCGGGGGUCGUGUUAUUGCGGUAUCCCGAGUAGCUUCUCCCAGCGAGAGGCGAAAGGCACCGCAGUGCGCGUCGGUACAUCGUUGCCUCCAAAAUCAAGGCCUGGGCAUAUCCGGAUGUUGUGUCAUGUUGCCAAAGCGUCUCUGAUCCUCGGCGAGAAGUUAACUAACGCUCCGAUACCUCUCUCUUUGCCAAUCGUCUCCAAGCGCGUAAGCGGCUGAAGUGGCGUGCGGUUCGGGUUGGGACACGGCAGUGUACGGUGGUCGACCUAGGUGACGCCGGUCACGUCUCGAAACACGGGCCAAGGAGCAUAGCGUAAAGCCAAGUCCAAAUGUUUCUCGAAACUUUGUGGCACGAGUGAAAGCGAUCGUACGGCUACUUUGCGUAGCCGUAAGUGAACACGCUGAGAGUUCCGGUGCAAGCCGAGAUUCGAAGCGCGCUCCGACCUAGUCAAGGUUGAUCCUCUAGUUCUUCACGAACGAACAGGCGCAAACCUCAGGCCCAUUCAAUCGUCAACUUCGGUUGGCCGGAAGGGCACUGCCUAGGCUUUGAGCUAUGACCCGAAAGAUAGUGAACUAUGCUUGGCGAAGACGAAGCCCCAGGAAACUGUGGUGGAAGUCUGUAGCCGUUUUGACGUGCAAAUCAAUGGUGUCAGCUGAGCAUAGGGGCGAAAGACCAAUCGAACUAUCUAGUAGCUGGUUCCAUUCGAAGUUUCUCUCAGGAUAGCUUGCGUGACAUUAACGCUAUGAGUCUGGACUCUUCGGUACACGAAAGCGUGCUGGUAGUCCGUCCCAUUUGUCUGCAGUUGUUGAGAGUUGGCGAGCCAAGAACUUUGUCAUCUCACUCUCUAGUCAUCAGGGUAGCGUAUCAUUUGGAUCGUGAGCAGUUACGUCUGGUAAAGAGAAUGAGUAGAGUUAGCUCGUUGCUUUCUAUAGCAACAGCAGCGGGGCGUUCUACGCCUCGCACUAUUAUCAAACUUUAAAUGGGCGAGGUACUCGGUAUUUUCUUAAUUGCUUGAUACCGGGGCGAAACACGUCGCGACUUUACCGUUGGGACGAAGGUGAAUGCGUGCGCGCAAAGUGGGUCCUUUCUGGUAAGCAGAACUGAUAAUGAGGGAUGAACCUAACGCAUGUGCUAAGGGGCCAAAGAGACAGCUAUUUCUCGAAACCAUUGGAAAGGUGUUGCUUGCUGAAGACAGCAGGACGGUGGUCAUGGAAGUCGAUAUCCGCUAAGGAGUGUGUAACUACUCAUCCUGCCGAAGCGAGUAACCCUGAAAAUGGAUGGCUCUAUAGCUCUCUCCCGAUGCACAGCCGUCAGUAGCACUUGAGUCACCUCNUGUCUCUACGCUCUGACGAGUAGAAUGGCUAUGCUGCACUGCUUUGACGGCUAUCGCGUGAGCGUGGUCUGAGCGUGCAGCAGUACAGAUCUUGGUGGUAGUAGCAAGUACUCUGGUGAAUAACCUUGAGCUGUGAGGUUGAUAAGGGUUCCAUGUCAACAGUGUUUGUACAUGGGUAAGUCGGUCCUAAGCUCCCAUUAUUCUUAAUGGUUAUUGCGAUCGCUCGGAAGAAGUCAAACAGUGUGUGCAAGACACACGGUACUGGUGUUGUUUAGGAUGAUUGUGGUGAGCAGCAGGCCUCCCCCGCUCGGUGAUGAUAUAGACCUAUAGUCAACAAGGUCGUGAACGGUAGCGUUUUUCUCACUGGAGAAAGUGAACGCUGUGACCUAGUAGCUGACUGUGUCUGACGAUAGACUGUGUCAUUGUGGGUGUAGGUCUCUCUCUCUGUCUCUCUGUCUCUAUAUGGCCCAGUCGUUUUGAUCACGCACACUACGCGCUUCUGCGUCGCUCGGCGAAAGGGAAUUGCGGACUCAGUUCGUAAACCACACCUGGUACCCUGAGACGGUUCACCGUUUCACGGACCUGGCAAUAGCUUGCCAGGCCAGUCGCUGUCAUAAGUAGCUCGGCGGGGAGAUUUCUUCUCUCUUUGAUAUAGAUACGUGUCCUGAAAGCACCUCGAGUGGCGGAAGGUCAACGCUGUCUAGCAGAGUACUCUACUCCCUCGAGUAGAUAACGAUGCUGCUUGUGAUCCGUGAAAAGGUGGUCGAGGGGAAAGAAUGGGAUGAGUGCYCGCAGCCUGCUGCUUGCGCCUGUCCCACACACUUUACUCGAGUGUUAGCCAGGGCGUGGCCGUACCCAUAUCCGCAUCC